UACGUAGGGUGCUAGCGUUGUCCGGAUUUAUUGGGCGUAAAGAGCUCGUAGGCGGCUUGUCGCGUCGACUGUGAAAGCCCGCGGCUCAACCGCGGGUCUGCAGUCGAUACGGGCAGGCUAGAGUUCGGUAGGGGAGACUGGAAUUCCUGGUGUAGCGGUGAAAUGCGCAGAUAUCAGGAGGAACACCGGUGGCGAAGGCGGGUCUCUGGGCCGAUACUGACGCUGAGGAGCGAAAGCGUGGGGAGCGAACAGG
rnacentral:rRNA from 1 species